UACGGAGGGGGCUAGCGUUGUUCGGAAUUACUGGGCGUAAAGCGCGCGUAGGCGGACAUUUAAGUCAGGGGUGAAAUCCCGGAGCUCAACUCCGGAACUGCCUUUGAUACUGGGUGUCUUGAGUGUGGAAGAGGUGAGUGGAAUUCCGAGUGUAGAGGUGAAAUUCGUAGAUAUUCGGAGGAACACCAGUGGCGAAGGCGGCUCACUGGUCCAUUACUGACGCUGAGGUGCGAAAGCGUGGGGAGCAACAGGAGUUAAG
rnacentral:rRNA from 1 species